AUACGGAGGGUCCAAGCGUUAUCCGGAUUCAUUGGGUUUAAAGGGUCCGCAGGCGGGAAAAUAAGUCAGUGGUGAAAGCCUACAGCUCAACUGUAGAACUGCCAUUGAUACUGUUUUUCUUGAGUAUAGAUGAAGUGGGCGGCAUAUAUCAUGUAGCGGUGAAAUGCAUAGAUAUGAUAUAGAACACCGAUUGCGAAGGCAGCUCACUAAACUAUUACUGACGCUCAGGGACGAAAGCGUGGGGAGCGAACAGGAUUAGAAACCCCAGUAGUCC
rnacentral:rRNA from 1 species